rnacentral:rRNA from 1 species
UACGUAGGGUGCAAGCGUUGUCCGGAAUUAUUGGGCGUAAAGAGCUCGUAGGCGGUCUGUCGCGUCGGCUGUGAAAACCUAGGGCUCAACCCUGGGCCUGCAGCCGAUACGGGCAGACUAGAAUUCGGUAGGGGAGACUGGAAUUCCUGGUGUAGCGGUGAAAUGCGCAGAUCUCAGGAGGAACACCGGUGGCGAAGGCGGGUCUCUGGGCCGAUAUUGACGCUGAGGAGCGAAAGCGUGGGGAGCGAACAGG